GACGCACGCUGGCGGCGUGCUUAACACAUGCAAGUCGAACGAAGUGGCGCACGGGUGAGUAACGCGUAAUCAACCUGCCCUUCAGAGGGGGACAACAGUAGGAAACGACUGCUAAUACCGAAUACUGACGUAGGGGAUUGCGUCUGUUUAGGUAGUUGGUGGGGUCACGGCCCACCAAGGCGAUGAUCAGUAGCCGGUCUGGGAGGAUGAACGGCCACAUUGGGUCUGAGACACGUCCCAGACUCCUACGGGAGGCAGCAGUUGGGAAUCUUCCGCAAUGGACGAAAGUCUGACGGAGCAACGCCGCGGGAGUGAUGACGGCCUUCGGGUUGUAAAGCUCUGUUAAUCGGGACGCGGUACCGGAAUAGAAAGCCACGGCUAACUACGUGCCAGCAGCCGCGGUAAUUC
rnacentral:rRNA from 1 species